rnacentral:rRNA from 1 species
AUUGAACGCUGGCGGCAUGCUUUACACAUGCAAGUCGAACGGCAGCGCGGGCUUCGGCCUGGCGGCGAGUGGCGAACGGGUGAGUAAUACAUCGGAACGUGCCCAGCAGUGGGGGAUAGCUCGGCGAAAGCCGGAUUAAUACCGCAUACGACCUGAGGGUGAAAGCGGGGGAUCUUCGGACCUCGCGCUAUUGGAGCGGCCGAUGGCAGAUUAGCUAGUUGGUGGGGUAAAGGCCUACCAAGGCGACGAUCUGUAGCUGGUCUGAGAGGACGACCAGCCACACUGGGACUGAGACACGGCCCAGACUCCUACGGGAGGCAGCAGUGGGCAAUUUUGGACAAUGGGCGAAAGCCUGAUCCAGCAAUGCCGCGUGUGUGAUGAAGGCCUUCGGGUUGUAAAGCACUUUUGGCGGGAACGAAAAGGACUGUGCCAAUACCACGGUUCGAUGACGGUACCCGCAGAAUAAGCACCGGCUAACUACGUG